GAUGACAAACUGUUGCAUUAGUAUAUUGAGGCAAAUAAGUUCAAAGGGGAAUAACUCCGAGAAAAAAAUGGAAUCAUAAUUCCCUGUCGAUAUGCACAUCUACAUAGUAUGUCCUUAUUAUCUACAAAGUUUCAUGAAAUUCUGUUGUGUGAUUUCAGAGGAGUUGAGAUGACAAACUGUUGCAGUAGUAUAUUGGUGCAAAUAAUUUCAAAGGGGCGUAACUCCUAGAAAAAAAAUUGAAUCAUAAUUUCCUGUCGAUAUGCACAUCUACAUAGUAUGUCCUUAAUAUCAAAAAAGAUUUUAUGAAAUUCUGUUGUGUGGUUUCAGAGGAGUUGCGAUGACAAACUGUUGCAGUAGUAUAUUGAGGCAAAUAAGUUUAAAGGGGCGUAACUUCUAGAAAAAAAAUUGUAUCGUAAUUUCCUGUCGAUAUGCACAUCUACAUAGCAUGUCCUUAUUAUCGACAAAGUUUCAUGAAAUU
rnacentral:lncRNA from 1 species